AUUGAACGCUGGCGGCAGGCCUAACACAUGCAAGUCGAACGGUAACAGGAAGAAGCUUGCUUCUUUGCUGACGAGUGGCGGACGGGUGAGUAAUGUCUGGGAAACUGCCUGAUGGAGGGGGAUAACUACUGGAAACGGUAGCUAAUACCGCAUAACGUCGCAAGCCCAAAGAGGGGGACCUUCGGGCCUCUUGCCAUUGGAUGUGCCCAGAUGGGAUUAGCUAGUAGGUGGGGUAACGGCUCACCUAGGCGACGAUCCAUAGCUGGUCUGAGAGGAUGACCAGCCACACUGGAACUGAGACACGGUCCAGACUCCUACGGGAGGCAGCAGUAGGGAAUAUUGCACAAUGGGCGCAAGCCUGAUGCAGCCAUGCCGCGUGUAUGAAGAAGGCCUUCGGGUUGUAAAGUACUUUCAGCGGGGAGGAAGGGAGUAAAGUUAAUACCUUUGCUCAUUGACGUUACCCGCAGAAGAAGCACCGGCUAACUCCGUG
rnacentral:rRNA from 1 species